rnacentral:rRNA from 1 species
AGAAUCAACGCUGGCGGCGUGCCUAACACAUGCAAGUCGCACGAGAAAGGGACUUCGGUCCUGAGUAAAGUGGCGCACGGGUGAGUAACACGUGAAUCAUCUACCUCCGAGUGGGGAAUAACCUAGAGAAAUCUGGGCUAAUACCGCAUAACACUUACGAGUCAAAGCAGCAAUGCGCUUGGAGAGGAGUUCGCGGCAGAUUAGUUAGUUGGCGGGGUAAUGGCCCACCAAGACGAUGAUCUGUAUCCGGCCUGAGAGGGCGCACGGACACACUGGAACUGAAACACGGUCCAGACUCCUACGGAGGCAGCAGUGGGGAAUUUUGCGCAAUGGGGGAAACCCUGACGCAGCAACGCCGCGUGGAGGAUGAAAUAUCUUGGUAUGUAAACUCCUUUCGAUGGGAAGAUAAUGACGUACCCAUAGAAGAAGCCCGGCUAACUUCGCGCCAGCAGCCGC